UACGGGGAGGGCAAGCGUUGUUCGGAAUUACUGGGCGUAAAGGGUUCGUAAGGUGGCUUGUUAAGUCAGACGUGAAAUCCCUCGGCUCAACCGGGGAACUGCUCUGAGACUGAUGAGCUCGAGUGCAGGAGAGGAACGCGGAAUUCCAGGUGUAGCGGUGAAAUGCGUAGAUAUCUGGAGGAACACCGGUGGCGAAGGCAGAUCUCUGGGCCGUAACUGACGCUGAGGAGCGAAAGCGUGGGGAGCGAACAGG
rnacentral:rRNA from 1 species